UCCCGUCAGUAACUCAGUGGUAGAGCUUUCGACUGGUGUGCAAAAGGUCAUAAGUUCGAUUCCUCAGUGUUAGGAA